GCACCCGUGGUGGAACUGGCAGACACGCAAGAUUCAGGUUCUUGUGCCUAAACAGCGUGGGGGUUCGAAUCCCUCCGGGUGCACCA
rnacentral:tRNA from 1 species